rnacentral:tRNA from 1 species
GCCCAGGUAGCUCAGUUGGUAGAGCACACCCUUGGUAAGGGUGAGGUCGGCAGUUCAAAUCUGCUCUUGGGCUCCA